UUACCGUAGGCGCGCGCACACACAUUCAUCACAAAAAUUAUAACGCGAUUAGGGUUUUCUUUCUUCCUUCAUCCUCCCAUUUCGUUUCCUCUCUCCUUCAGCCGCCGAAACCUCUGUCUGCGCCAAACCUCUCUCUCAGCCAUCCUCUCUCUCACCCAAACUUCUCUCUCAACCUUCCUCUCUCUAAGCCAUCCUCUUCAUCCUUCAGCCGUCGCGCCGCCGAAGCUCUCUCUCAACCAUCCUCCUCUCUCUCAAGCAAACCUCACUCUCAGCCAAACCUCUCUCUCAACCACACCUCUCUCAGCCGCUGCUCCUCUCAGUCGCCACCUUUCUCAGUCGCCGUUGUCACACAGGUUAGAUUCUCUAUCUUUUUUUUCUUUUUUUUCCUUUUUCCCCUUCGAUUCUCUGACCAACUCUCUCUGUCUGCAAUUCGGAGCUUCCUCUGUCCUCCAACAAUUUGCAGAUCCAGCACCAGCAGUUCGCAGCUUCCUCUGUCCUCCAGCAGUUUGCAGAUCCAGCAGUCCACCUCUUCAUCUUAUCUCUCUCUCUCUCUCUCUCAGGUAUGUCACUGUGAUGCGCCAAAAAACCUCCAAAUGCCAACUGCUUGUAUUUUAUCAAAUUGAUUAGCACUUCUUGGUGAUAUGAAAAGUAUUUUAUAUGCCUAUCUUGAUAUUAUGCUGUCAAAAGAAGAAAUGGAUUGAAAUAAGGCAGAUUGAAACUAUAUCAAAUUGAAGCUCCAGUAUAUCAAAUAUAUAUCAAAUUGGAUUGGGUUGUGGUUGUCUGAAUAUGUACGUGUGGUUGUCUCAAUCUGUGAAGAAAAAAUAAACAUAAAUCUAGAUCCAAUGGAGAACAUGAUGGGUAUUCUGGGUAUUCUGAGAACAUGUUAGAGGCAUGAGAAGCAGUGUAUGUUGUUAUCAAAAUGGGCAAGCAGGUUCACUUGGUGUUCGGAGAUGCAGCAACAAAAGAGCAAAAGAAUGGAGUUGUAAUUUUAAAUUUGAUUGUAAUUUAUUUAUUUUUUAUAGGUAAUUUAUUUUGUUUUAUUGUGUAUUUUUUUGUUGGGUUGUAAUUUUAAAUUGAAUAUUGGAUUGUUUUAUUAUUUUUGACAAAGAAUAGUGGUUGUUUCAAUAUGGGAAUUGGGCCAAUUGUGAUGUUGAAGCCCAAAAAUAUUAAAAAU